rnacentral:rRNA from 1 species
GAUGAACGCUGGCGGCGUGCCUAAUACAUGCAAGUCGAGCGAAUGGAUUAAGAGCUUGCUCUUAUGAAGUUAGCGGCGGACGGGUGAGUAACACGUGGGUAACCUGCCCAUAAGACUGGGAUAACUCCGGGAAACCGGGGCUAAUACCGGAUAACAUUUUGAACCGCAUGGUUCGAAAUUGAAAGGCGGCUUCGGCUGUCACUUAUGGAUGGACCCGCGUCGCAUUGGCUAGUUGGUGAGGUAACGGCUCACCAAGGCAACGAUGCGUAGCCGACCUGAGAGGGUGAUCGGCCACACUGGGACUGAAACACGGCCCAGACUCCUACGGGAGGCAGCAGUAGGGAAUCUUCCGCAAUGGACGAAAGUCUGACGGAGCAACGCCGCGUGAGUGAUGAAGGCUUUCGGGUCGUAAAACUCUGUUGUUAGGGAAGAACAAGUGCUAGUUGAAUAAGCUGGCACCUUGACGGUACCUAACCAGAAAGCCACGGCUAACUACGUGCCAGCCACCGCAGUAA